rnacentral:rRNA from 1 species
UACCAGCACCCCGAGUGGUCGGGAUGUUUAUUGGGCCUAAAGUAUCCGUAGCCGGUUCUACAAGUCUUCCGUUAAAUCCAACUGCUUAACAGGUGGGCUGCGGAAGAUACUAUAGAGCUAGGAGGCGGGAGAGGCAAGCGGUACUCGAUGGGUAGGGGUAAAAUCCGUUGAUCCAUUGAAGACCACCAGUGGCGAAGGCGGCUUGCCAGAACGCGCUCGACGGUGAGGGAUGAAAGCUGGGGGAGCAAACCGG